CGGUUAAAAAGCUCGUAGUUGGAUCUCGGCAAGUAGAGGGCGGUAUGCCUCGUAGCAUUACUGCCCUAUUACUUGUAGUUUUGCCAGAGGUUCCUGGGUGCUCUUAAUCGAGUGUCUAGGGAUGCUGGCAGGUUUACUUUGAAAAAAUUAGAGUGCUCAAAGCAGGCUAUUACGCUUGAAUAUUCGUGCAUGGAAUAAUAGAAUAGGAAGUUGUUUCUAUUUUGUUGGUUUUCGGAAAUCGACUUAAUGAUUAAUAGGGACAGUCGGGGGCAUUUGUAUUCAAACGACAGAGGUGAAAUUCUUGGACCGUUUGAAGACAAACUACUGCGAAAGCAUUUGCCAAGAAUGUUUUCAUUAAUCAAGAACGAAAGUUAGAGGUUCGAAGGCGAUUAGAUACCGCCCUAGUUCUAACCAUAAACGAUGCCAGCUAGCGAUCUGAGGACGUUUUUUUUGUAGACUCCUCAGGAAGCUUCCGGGAAACCAAAGCGUGUGGGUUCCGGGGGAAGUAUGGUUGCAAAGCUGAAACUUAAAGGAAUUGACGGAAGGGCACCACCAGGAGUGGAGCCUGCGGCUUAAAUUUGACCCAAACACGGGGAAAUCUCACC
rnacentral:rRNA from 1 species